UUCAGGGAAGGCUGUGGUGUCUCUGUGAAGAUGCAACUUCUGCAUCUUAUUCUGUGCCUGAUGACAGGUUUCCAAAGUGUGCUGCUCCAGGUGCAGCUGCAGGAGUCUGGAGCUGGCCUGGUGAAGCCCUCACAGACCUUGUCUCUCAUCUGCUCAGUCUCUGGGGUCUCCAUCACCAGCAGUGGUCACUGGGGGAACUGGAUCCGUCAGACCCAAGGAAAGAGAUUGGAUUGGAUGGGGUACAUAAGUUACAAUGGUGGCACCAGCUACAGCCCAGCCCUCAAAAGCCGCAUCUCCAUCUUCAGAGACACAGCUAAUAACCAGUUCUCCCUUCAGUUGAACUCUGUGACUGAAGAUGACACAGCUGUGUACUACUGUGUAGAUAGCACAGUGAACAGACGUCAGUCACAAACCUCCCUGCAGGGUGCUCAGGACCAGCAGGUGGUGCUCAGCACACACUGCUGUAGGGAUCGGACUUCAUAG